rnacentral:rRNA from 1 species
UACCAUGCAGUCGAACGGUGAAGCCUUUCGGGGUGGAUCAGUGGCGAACGGGUGAGUAACACGUGGGCAAUCUGCCCUGCACUCUGGGACAAGCCCUGGAAACGGGGUCUAAUACCGGAUAUUACCUGGGGGCGCAUGCUUCCGGGUGGAAAGCUCCGGCGGUGCAGGAUGAGCCCGCGGCCUAUCAGCUUGUUGGUGGGGUGAUGGCCUACCAAGGCGACGACGGGUAGCCGGCCUGAGAGGGCGACCGGCCACACUGGGACUGAGACACGGCCCAGACUCCUACGGGAGGCAGCAGUGGGGAAUAUUGCACAAUGGGCGCAAGCCUGAUGCAGCGACGCCGCGUGAGGGAUGACGGCCUUCGGGUUGUAAACCUCUUUCAGCAGGGAAGAAGCGCAAGUGACGGUACCUGCACAAAAAGCACCGGCUAACUAUGUGCCUGCAGCCGCGCUAAUACUUAGGGUGCGAGCGUUGUCCGGAAUUUUUGGGCGUAUAAUAGAUUUUAAGCCGGUUGGCUUCUUUGAAUGUACUAUGCCCGGAU